CCUACGGGUGGCAGCAGUCGAGAAUCAUUCACAAUGGGGGAAACCCUGAUCCUGCGACGCCGCGUGGAGGAAUGAAGGUCUUCGGAUUGUAAACCCCUGUCAUGUGGGCGCAAAUUAAAAAGAUAGUACCACAAGAGGAAGAGACGGCUAACUCUGUGCCAGCAGCCGCGGUAAUACAGGGGUCUCCAGCGUUGUUCGGAAUCACUGGGCGUAAAGGGUGCGUAGGCUGUUUCGUAAGUCGUGUGUGAAAGUCGGGGGCUCAACCCGCGGACGGCACAUGAUACUGCGAGACUAGAGUAGUGGAGGGGGAAGCGGAAUUCUCGGUGUAGCAGUGAAAUGCGUAGAUAUCGAGAGGAACACUCGUGGCGAAGGCGGGUUCCUGGACAGUAACUGACGCUGAGGCACGAAGGUCAGGGGAGCGAAAGGGAUUAGAUACCCCAGUAGUC
rnacentral:rRNA from 1 species